AGAUUACUGCUGCAGAUAGGUCACUUCUGGAUGCCCCAGUCUCUAUGGAAGAACUGACUGCUGCUGUUGGACAAAUGAUCUCUGGAGUGUAAAAGAAAGGCUGAGAGACUGGGAUGAGCUGCUGCUGAAUUMUUGCGAGAAGGUGUGCGUAAGUAUGGUGAAGUGCUGGUAAGCGCAAUUUUUUUCUUUCUCCCAGAUAGAACUCCGUAUUUAUAAAAACAGACAAAAAACUUAAUUAAAGGUCAUAAAAUAUUAGUAGAUAUCAUUCUAAACUGGAAGCGUAAACUUUAGAAAGUUUGGAGCAUUUCGUGGAUGAGUGUUUUGAUGUCUUUGUAAUGGGUAAAUCAAAACAAACUUCUGCUACUUCUGCAUCUACACCGAAGCGUACCCGCUCGGAGUGCUCGGCGAACUCCUCGACAACAUCUCCGGAUAAAAGCAUCACCGGAAUUCUGGAGUCUAUAGACUUGAGGCUAACUAGCCUGGAUGGCAGACUCRCCUUGGUCGAGGUCCUCCAUAAGGAGUUCCAGAGCCUGAAGCUUUCGCUAGAGUUUAGUCAGAAACAGGUAGAGUCGCUUGYYUCAGAAAACCAUCAGCUGAGGGAAACCAUGAAGCAAUUCACCGAGAGUAUGACGCUGAUGUCCAGAGAUAACAAAAAAAUCAAGGAAUCCAUUCCGGAUAUCCAAGCUCAGAGCAUGUGGGACAACCUUGUAUUUUUCCUUUAUUCCUGAGCAGGYAGGGGAAGAUGCAGAGGCCUCAGUUCGUCAUUUCAUCCAGCAUCAACUGAAGCUAUCAAGUACAUAGUGGAUAAAAUCAAGUUCCACCGGGUUCAUCGGCUUGGAGGGGAGUUUGGUUUCCUGAUGGUCCUCUGCUCUUUCCGAGUCCAUUCUAACCGCCGAGACCCGAGACCUGGACCGAUGAUGGGCACAUGUGGACAAAUGGACAGCGAUGCUGAGACCAGAAGACUGUAUGAAGGCCAGCGCUAAGAAGAUCAUCCACAGCCCAGCACCAUGAAGGCGAGAUAACGUUGUCAUGUCUGCCUGUUUGCCUAACACUAACCCCCCCC